GACGAACGCUGGCGGCGUGCUUAACACAUGCAAGUCGAACGAUGAACUUGGCAGCUUGCUGCUGGGGGAUUAGUGGCGAACGGGUGAGUAACACGUGAGUAACUUGCCCUGGACUCUGGGAUAAGCGCUGGAAACGGCGUCUAAUACCGGAUAGGACCUUCCCUCGCAUGGGGGUUGGUGGAAAGUUUUUUCGGUUUGGGAUGGACUCGCGGCCUAUCAGCUUGUUGGUGAGGUAAUGGCUCACCAAGGCGUCGACGGGUAGCCGGCCUGAGAGGGUGACCGGCCACACUGGGACUGAGACACGGCCCAGACUCCUACGGGAGGCAGCAGUGGGGAAUAUUGCACAAUGGGCGAAAGCCUGAUGCAGCAACGCCGCGUGGGGGAUGACGGCCUUCGGGUUGUAAACCUCUUUUAGUAGGGAAGAAGGGCUUCGGCUUGACGGUACCUGCAGAAAAAGCACCGGCUAACUACGUGCCAGCCGCCGCGGUAAAAC
rnacentral:rRNA from 1 species